rfam:Chelativorans sp. BNC1, complete genome.
GUGCAGGGACGGCCUUGCUUUCUUCUAUCCGGAUGAGGACGGCCUCA